rnacentral:rRNA from 1 species
CCUACGGGAGGCAGCAGUGGGGAAUAUUGGACAAUGGGCGAAAGCCUGAUCCAGCAAUGCCGCGUGAGUGAUGAAGGCCUUAGGGUUGUAAAGCUCUUUUACCAGGGAUGAUAAUGACAGUACCUGGAGAAUAAGCUCCGGCUAACUCCGUGCCAGCAGCCGCGGUAAUACGGAGGGAGCUAGCGUUGUUCGGAAUUACUGGGCGUAAAGCGUACGUAGGCGGUUAUUCAAGUCAGAGGUGAAAGCCUGGAGCUCAACUCCAGAACUGCCUUUGAAACUAGAUAGCUAGAAUCUUGGAGAGGUGAGUGGAAUUCCGAGUGUAGAGGUGAAAUUCGUAGAUAUUCGGAAGAACACCAGUGGCGAAGGCGACUCACUGGACAAGUAUUGACGCUGAGGUACGAAAGCGUGGGGAGCAAACAGGAUUAGAUACCCUGGUAGUCCACGCCGUAAACGAUGAUAACUAGCUGUUCGGGCUCUACGAGCUUGAGUGGCGCAGCUACGCAUUAAGUUAUCCGUCCGUCGGGAGGUACGGUCGCGAAGAAUUAAACUUAAAAUUAGUAAGUUAGUACGGACGUGAGACGUGCCGAACGGACGACGACGAGGGAGGUAGG